UCCCCGCUAGCUCAGUUGGUAGAGCGCGUCACUAGUAAUGACGAGGUCAGUCGUUCGAGUCGGCUGUGGGGAA